rnacentral:rRNA from 1 species
UGAGUAACACGUAUCCAACCUGCCGUCUACUCUUGGACAGCCUUCUGAAAGGAAGAUUAAUACAAGAUGGCAUCAUGAGUCCGCAUGUUCACAUGAUUAAAGGUAUUCCGGUAGACGAUGGGGAUGCGUUCCAUUAGACAGUAGGCGGGGUAACGGCCCACCUAGUCUUCGAUGGAUAGGGGUUCUGAGAGGAAGGUCCCCCACAUUGGAACUGAGACACGGUCCAA